rnacentral:misc_RNA from 1 species
GAUGAAGGACGUAGCGAAAUGCGAUAAGUAAUGUGAAUUGCAGAAUUCAGUGAAUCAUCGAAUCUUUGAACGCACAUUGCGCCCGCCAGUAUUCUGGCGGGCAUGCCUGUCCGAGCGUCAUUUCAACCCUCGAACCCCUCCGGGGGGUCGGCGUUGGGGACCUCGGGAGCCUCUAAGACGGGAUCCCGGCCCCGAAAUACAGUGGCGGUCUCGCCGCAGCCUCUCCUGCGCAGUAGUUUGCACAACUCGCACCGGGAGCGCGGCGCGUCCACGUCCGUAAAACACCCAACUUCUGAAAUGUUGACCUCGGAUCAGGUAGGAAUACCCGCUGAACUUAAGCAUAUCAAUAAGCGGAGGA